ACCUGGGUGGCUCAGUGGGUUAAGCGUCUGACUUCGGCUCAGGUCAUGAUUUCACGGUUUGUGGGUUUGAGUCCCGCGCCGGGCU
rnacentral:tRNA from 1 species